UCGAUAAUAAUACAAAUUAGAUUUUUACUACUCCACCACCUGCCACCCCCCCUAAGUUCAAGAAAAUGGGAAUAACAAUAAGGUAUGGAGACAUGUGCUGCACACUCCCCUAUCCCCUCUUGAGCUUGCUGCACCUUUUCUUUUCCCACGCCUAUGCAGCAGGCUGCCAUGCCCAAGUACACCUAAAUAUGUCAAUCAGCCACCCUAGAAUGUACCUCCUCCCAUGUAUACAAGCUCCCAGCCAAACCACCUCGUCAUUCAAAACAGCCAACAUUGUUGCAUUCUCUUCAUUCUUCAUUUGAGGACUGCACAAGGAGAAGUGAGCCUUUAAUUCAUCCUACCAAGUAUUCUCAAGGUAAGCUUGUCUUCAAUGCUCCACCUUCUUCCCUUAUUCCACCUGCAUUAAUGCAAGAACAACUUUAUUAUUUCAGUUCGAUCUGCUGCUUCAUUUAAUCCAACCACAACAGCCAACAAACACCAAAGCAAGCAUCAUUCAAGGUAUUUAUACUACCUCAGUUAUCCAAUCGAGUUUGCAUUCAUACCAACGAGCAUAAUCAUGUUUUACCACUACAUCAAACAGUCCAUGUUAUGUAUAGCAAUAGAAAGACUUAUGUGUAUACUGCCACUGCACUCUAGAACACAAACCAUGAGGACCUCACACAUAGCACAUGAAUGAACGAACAAGGAUAGCGAUAGCAUGCUCACUGACAGAGUGUUAAACCCUGAUUCUUUCUUACUCAUAGAAGCUUAAGCUUAUCGAUACUCAGACAUGGUAGGAAGAAGACGAGUCAAGGAUAUAACUUAGCUUUAGGAGGAAGGGACGCGGCCUGUUCAGGCUGAUCAAGAGACGACGAGCAGCAGCGACUCGGUGCUUGGCGGUGGGUUCAGGCGAGAAGCUCGCCUUGUUGCUCCACG
rnacentral:lncRNA from 1 species